ensembl:misc_RNA Metazoa_SRP Metazoan signal recognition particle RNA
GCCAGGCAUGGUAGCGCAUGCCUGUAGUCCCAGCUACUUUGGAGGCUGAGGUGGGAGGAUCAUUUUUGCCUGGGAGGUUGAGGCUGCAGUGAGCUGUGGUUGUGCCACUGUACUCCAGCCUAGGUGACAGAGUGAGACCCUGUCUCUC